AUACCGUCAGUUCCGGCCGAACCGGAAUUUCUUCUCACAUAAAAGGAGUUUACGCCCCAUAGGGGUGUCUUCCUCCACGCGGCGUGGCUGCGUCAGGCUUUCGCCCAUUGCGCAAUAUUCCUUA
rnacentral:rRNA from 1 species